rnacentral:rRNA from 1 species
AGAGUUUGAUCCUGGCUCAGAUUGAACGCUGGCGGCAUGCCUUACACAUGCAAGUCGAACGGCAGCGGGGACUUCGGUCCGCCGGCGAGUGGCGAACGGGUGAGUAAUAUAUCGGAACGUACCUUUCAGUGGGGGAUAACGUAGCGAAAGUUACGCUAAUACCGCAUAUUCUGUGAGCAGGAAAGCAGGGGAUCGCAAGACCUUGCGCUGAUUGAGCGGCCGAUAUCAGAUUAGCUAGUUGGUGAGGUAAAGGCUCACCAAGGCGACGAUCUGUAGCGGGUCUGAGAGGAUGAUCCGCCACACUGGAACUGAGACACGGUCCAGACUCCUACGGGAGGCAGCAGUGGGGAAUUUUGGACAAUGGGGGCAACCCUGAUCCAGCCAUGCCGCGUGAGUGAAGAAGGCCUUCGGGUUGUAAAGCUCUUUCGGCCGGGAAGAAAUCGCACGGGCUAAUACCCUGUGUGGAUGACGGUACCGGAAUAAGAAGCACCGGCUAACUACGUGCCAGCAGCCGCGGUAAUACGUAGGGUGCGAGCGUUAAUCGGAAUUACUGGGCGUAAAGCGUGCGCAGGCGGUUUAGUAAGACAGGCGUGAAAUCCCCGGGCUCAACCUGGGAACUGCGCUUGUGACUGCUAAGCUAGAGUACGGCAGAGGGGGGUGGAAUUCCACGGGUAGCGGUGAAAUGCGUAGA